GAGGCAGCAGUGGGGAAUCUUGCGCAAUAGGGGAAACCCUGACGCAGCGACGCCGCGUGGAGGAUGAAGGUCUUCGGGUUGUAAACUCCUUUUCUCAGGGAAAAUGAUGAUGGUACCUGAGGAAUAAGCCACGGCUAACUCUGUGCCAGCAGCCGCGGUAAGACAGAGGUGGCGAGCGUUGUUCGGAAUUACUGGGCUUAAAGGGCGAGUAGGCGGUGGAGCAAGUCUGAGGUGGAAUCCUAUGGCUUAACCAUAGAAUUGCCUUAGAAACUGCUUUACUUGAGUCAGUGAGGGGAGGGCGGAAUUCCUGGUGUAGCGGUGAAAUGCGUAGAUAUCAGGAGGAAGGCCUGUGGCGAAGGCGGCCCUCUGGCACUGAACUGACGCUGAGGCGCGAAAGCGUGGGGAGCAAACAGGAUUAGAUACCCUGGUAGUCCACGCCCUAAACGGUGGGCAUUAGGUGUAGGGCUCGUAAGGGUUCUGUGCCGAAGGGAAACCAUUAAAUGCCCCGCCUGGGGAGUACGGCCGCAAGGUUAAAACUUAAAUGAAUUGACGG
rnacentral:rRNA from 1 species